AGUGAACGCUGGCGGUAGGCCUAACACAUGCAAGUCGAACGGCAGCACAGUAAGAGCUUGCUCUUACGGGUGGCGAGUGGCGGACGGGUGAGGAAUACAUCGGAAUCUACUUUUUCGUGGGGGAUAACGUAGGGAAACUUACGCUAAUACCGCAUACGACCUACGGGUGAAAGCAGGGGAUCUUCGGACCUUGCGCGAUUGAAUGAGCCGAUGUCGGAUUAGCUAGUUGGCGGGGUAAAGGCCCACCAAGGCGACGAUCCGUAGCUGGUCUGAGAGGAUGGUCAGCCACACGGGAAGUGAGACAGGGUCCAGACUCCUACGGUAGGCAGCAGUGGGGAAUAUUGGGCAAUGGGCGCGAGCCUGAUCCAGCGAUACCGCGUGGGUGAAGAAGGCGUUCGGGUUGGAAAGCCCUUUUGUUGGGAAAGAAAAGCAGUAGGUUAAUACCCCGCUGUUCUGACGGUACCCAAAGAAUAAGCACCGGCUAACUUCGUG
rnacentral:rRNA from 1 species